GGGAGAAGGGGUGCCUACGAGAGUAGGCCGCAGAGAAUAGGCACAAGCAACUGUUUAGCAAAAACACAGGUCUCUGCUAAAGCGAAAGCUGAUGUAUAGGGGCUGACGCCUGCCCGGUGCUGGAAGGUUAAGGGGAAUACUUAGCGCAAGCGAAGGUAUGAACUUAAGCCCCAGUAAACGGCGGCCGUAACUAUAACGGUCCUAAGGUAGCGAAAUUCCUUGUCAGGUAAGUUCUGACCCGCACGAAUGGCGUAAUGACUUGUGCACUGUCUCAACUGCAAAUCCGGCGAAGUUGUAGUGCGAGUGAAGAUGCUCGCUACCCGCGAUUGGACGGAAAGACCCCGUAGAGCUUUACUGUAGCUUAGCAUUGAAUUUCGGUAUUAUCUGUACAGGAUAGGUGGGAGACUAGGAAACUAGGACGUCAGUCUUAGUGGAGUCGCCCUUGGGAUACCACCCUGAUAUUACUGGAGUUCUAACAGGACGCCAUGAAACUGGUGACUGGACAUUGUUAGGUGGGCAGUUUGACUGGGGCGGUCGCCUCCUAAAAAGUAACGGAGGCGCCCAAAGGUUCCCUCAGAACGGUCGGAAAUCGUUCGAAGAGUGCAAAGGCAGAAGGGAGCCUGACUGCGACACCCACAAGUGGAGCAGGGACGAAAGUCGGGCUUAGUGAUCCGGUGGUACCUCGUGGGAGGGCCAUCGCUCAACGGAUAAAAGCUACCUCGGGGAUAACAGGCUGAUCUCCCCCAAGAGUUCACAUCGACGGGGAGGUUUGGCACCUCGAUGUCGGCUCGUCGCAUCCUGGGGCUGAAGUAGGUCCCAAGGGUUGGGCUGUUCGCCCAUUAAAGCGGCACGCGAGCUGGGUUCAGAACGUCGUGAGACAGUUCGGUCCCUAUCCGUCGCGGGCGUAGGAAAUUUGAGAGGAGCUGUCCUUAGUACGAGAGGACCGGGAUGGACUGACCUAUGGUGUACCAGUUGUUUCGCCAGAAGCAUAGCUGGGUAGCUAAGUCGGGAAGGGAUAAACGCUGAAAGCAUCUAAGCGUGAAGCCCACCUCAAGAUUAGAUUUCCCAUAGCGUAAGCUAGUAAGAUCCCUUGAAGAACACAAGGUUGAUAGGUUAGGGGUGUAAGCAUGGUAACAUGUUCAGCUGACUAAUACUAAUAGAUCGAGGGCUUGACCAU
rnacentral:rRNA from 1 species